GAUCAUGGCUCAGAUUGAACGCUGGCGGCAGGCUUAACACAUGCAAGUCGAACGGUAACAUAAAGGAGCUUGCUUCUUUGAUGACGAGUGGCGGACGGGUGAGUAAUGCUUGGGAAUCUAGCUUAUGGAGGGGGAUAACUACGGGAAACUGUAGCUAAUACCGCGUAGAAUCGGGAGAUGAAAGUGUGGGACCUUCGGGCCGACCAUGCCACUAGGAGUGAGCCCAACGUGGGAGUUAGGUAGUUGGUUGG
rnacentral:rRNA from 1 species